rnacentral:rRNA from 1 species
GAACAAGCGUGGCGUCUUCUUGAUAAUUCCGAAUCUUUAUGUGCAACCAUAUUGAGAGUUAAAUAUUUCCCCGAGGGAGAUUUGAUGAACGCAAGGUUAAAGAAGGGAUCUUCGUUUACUUGGCAAAGCAUUAUGACGGGAGUGAACUCUUUGAGAAAUUGUUAUAUCUGGCGAGUUGGAAAUGGACAAAAGAUUGAUAUUUGGAGAGAUGCAUGGAUUCCGAAUUGUGCGAGUAGGAAAAUUAUUACUCUGAGAGGUGGGCAACUUCUGUCAAAGGUGGCUGAUCUUAUUGAUCCAAUCAUGAAUUUUUGGGAUGAAGAUUUGGUGAGACAAACUUUGUGGCCAAUUGAUGUGCAAAGGGUCCUCGCGAUUCCCCUUACUAUGCAUAAUAUGUCGGAUUUCAUUGCCUGGAGCUAUACAAAAGAUGGUGUAUUCACUGUUCGAUCA